GGGAUGCCGCCAGCCGAACCCCGUGUGCCGUGCCCGCUGCGGGAGCGACUGGCCCCGCCGUGUUUGUGCGAAACACAAGUGCACCCUUGGCUGGCAGCCACCGAGCAACGCCACGAGGGUGUUCGGCUUCCUCGAGGCCGCCUGGCCAUGGAGAUAAGCGCCGGAGCAGGAAGCGUCUCACCCCGUGCUGGGCUAGAGAGAAUUUUGGCUCCCCGGGGCGGGGCUGGGGCUGCGAGCCGAAGGGCAGCACCCGAGUUCCUCGCCGGUGGGAUGGUGGUGGCAGGGAUGUCCCUGGGGUUCGUCUCGUGCUUUCCUGUGAGGUCCCCUCCUGGGGACGGUCCCAGCGUGGGUACGGUGGGACUGGAGGAUGCAGCGGGAGGAGGGAGGGCAGCACCUGCCAACAUCCCCAUCCUAUGGCCGCAUAACCAUCCCGUCUGUGACCCCGCAGGUAAAACACGGACAUCACGGCAUGAGCACCCCACGGUCUGUGCCGCACUCACCCCAACGAGACAAGUCCCCCCAUUUCACGGGGGAACGCAGGCAUCGCUCCGACCAGCUACAGAAACAAGGACAUCUCCAUGUGCUCGGCGUCCACGGCAUCGCUGUUAAUAGCCAAUCUGCCUGGGGAGAGGGAGUCUUCUGCAUGCUUUGCACAGAUAUGGAGUGAUUUCCUAUUGCCCAGAGCUUGCUGGGGCGCAGAAGACCCCUCUGCCCCAGCCGGCUCUGGUGCUGAUGUCGGAGCAAGAUGCUGCACCCUCUCUUGCAGCCGGCCUUGGGAGCUGCGUGCAUCCAGCGCAGCCGCCGCUGAGGUUUGUGGUGGGCUGUGUUUUGCCAACAGCAUUUAGUAAACAGCCCCGUGCGUGGUGCACAAGAAAGAUCCUAAUCUGGCUCAAAAAAAGCAAACAAGCCCAAAGUUAUCUCCGCAAGCCAAGUCUGCAAAUGCAGAAAAAUUCCUGCACCCUCUUGCACAACAGCGUCUGCCCUCCUCCUUGCCGGAGAUAAUUGCUCCGUCUACCAGCAAGCUACUCCUGGCAGCACUUGGCCAGGACAUCGCGUCCCAGGGACCGGCUGCUUCCCCCGGGCCAUUAGCGCCGUCACAGCCACCGAGACAUUUGCUCGCUGCCAUCUCGGAGGUGGGAUUCGCUUUUAGAGGGGAGCAGGCAAGGAGCGGGAGGAAAGGGUCACUGUGGCUGGCAGCCGCAGGAGGAUUCCCGGCUUCGAUUUUUGUGGCAAGGUUGUUCCCGACAUCCCGACCGCAGUGACGCCACGCCGAGGGCAGCCUCCGCCGCGCCGGUGCCGGGGGCGGCGAGCGAAGCCUGGCUCCAUCCCACCACCGUCCCAGAGCCCCCGCUCACCCCUGCCCAACGAGCCGGGGGCUGGGGGGACAUCUCGGCAGCUAAUUUGCUUUGCAGCCCCUUGAUCGCCCAGAGGAAGGCGGCUGCCUUUUCCUCUCGGCCGCCGGCUCCCCCCUUUCAUCCGUGCACGGCCCCAGCGGCUGCGGCGCUGCAGAGAUCCCCAGCACCCACCUGCCAUGGCAGGGAAUUGUGUGCAAAUGAGAACUAUUCUGGGGGAAAACCCAGGAAUGGAGGGAGCCUGCUGGGACGGAGCGGCCAGAUGACCCUCUGCGCUCGGGCGAGCGAGAGGAGGAGAACAAAGCAAGCUGUGCCUUUAUAAAAAAUGUUAUUAAAAAAGUAAAAGCAGGCAGAGUUGGCCCAUGGUUUGAGAAGGACGAGAGGUGGCAUUUCCCCUGGGCGAAGCCACAGUGGCUUUGCAGGAGGUUUGGGGUCAGCAGGGAGGCUGCGGGAUGGCGAGCACCAGCCUGAGCCGCUGCCGCCAGAAGUGUCCCCAGUGGUGGUGGCCUUGGCUGGGGACCCAGGCUGGACACACACAAACACGGCCGAGACGUGGCCUGUGGCGCGGGAAGCUGGCAAGUCCCCCGGAGCUCUCCCAGGGUCAUCCCACCCGAGCUCCGGGCCAUUGCUCACGAUGUUACCGUACAUCUCGGGAACACGUUUGCUCCCAAAGCCCCGGACCCUGGAGCCGUGCAAAGAGGGGAAUUUCAAAGGGUUGGGUUUUGGGGGUUGUUUUCUUUAUUUUUACCUCCUUAGGUCCAGGUUUCUGGGCACAGGCGCAGCCUGAACCCACUUGGUCCAAGCCCAGCGAGAAGGUAGGAACAACUAGAGCAACUUGAUUUGGAAGGAUCUCAGGUGUGAUGUCUGAGCUGGGAAACCAUCACCAAUUCCUCAAGCUGGAAAAAAUACAGGCAAAAAAUGGAGGAAAAAAAAGCUUUACAUCUCCCGCAGAGGCGUGAGCAGCCAUCAGCAUUUCUGGGCUCGGCAUCCAAGCCGAAACAAACUGAGCAAUCGCACAUGUUCUUCCUUGGCGGAGCCAAAAGCUGUUCCUGUCAUGCUAUAUAUUUGCUCUCUGAUUAAUGUAAGAUACAUUUUUUUUCGGGGAAUAGAAUCAGAGAAACCGACAGCAGCAUGUUAAGUAUUUGGCAAACAAUUCCUUUGAUGUUGCGCGUAGGUAGUGCUCAAUAUAUUUGCGAGCUAUAUAUAGCUAAAAACAUAUAUAUCUCGCCCCACAUAACGUUUCCACUCUUCUGCAGACUACCUGUAAAACACAGACAGUAUCAGAAGCUGUAAAUACAGUUAUUACACCACCGGCUGACAGCCAAUUCUCUAAAGCUUUUUGAUGCAAAACAUUUUUGUGUUUUCCAGGGAAAGACAAUGGGAUUUUGGUCCUGACUUGCCCAUCCUGCAGGCAGGGAUGUGGUCCACGCGUUUUGGGGUAGCGAUGCUCCCAGAAGAAUAAGGUGUCCUGGAGCUAUAGGCGUGUGUUGAUUAAUUUGCAGCCUGAGCCAUCCAUCCCGAUGCCGUACAGAAAUGUGCUGGGUUACCUUUUUUUUUUUUUCUCAUGGGCUUCCCUGCCUCAAAGCAGAGUGUUUGUGGAGGUUUAUCUGGUUUUCCUUUGUUCAGCGGUCACGAAAGAGAAAGAGGAAGGAAACCCGCCAUCGCUCGGCCUGAUACUCAGUUAAAAAUAGCAGGGCUGGCUGGGCCGGGGUUCCCAUCCUCACUAAAGGUCACUUCCCCAAGCCCCGCCGCUGAAAAUAUGCGACCGAAUGUCCCAUUUUGGCACAUUCCUGAUGGUUUGGAGGCAAUGAAAAGCCUGGAGGAAGGAGGGAUGCUCACCGCCCUGCAAAGCUCAGCUCUGGGCUGUCCAUGGGUUUUAUUUUCCAUCCUCGUGAACCACGUCCAAGGUCCCCUCCUCAGGGUCGGGGUGACGGCCACGGUGGGAUUGCCACAGCUGAAGAGCCGAAGCUCGCACGUCCCACGUCCCUUCCUCCGCUGCGAGGAGGGCAUCCUGCUGGCCGGUGCAUGGGGCCUGGCCCCCCCAGUGCUUUUUACUUAUGUAUUUUUUUAAUUUUUAAAUUUUUUUUAUUUUAUUUUUAUUUUUAUUUUUCCCUGUGCAGCCCGGCUGCUGCCUGAGAUCAGGGCAGUCCCAGGGCUCAGCAGUGUGGCCUUGGUGGCUUGCAGGGGGACAGGAGGCAGGGGGAGAUGGUGUCAGGGCAGGAGCCAGCUCCAGUCCUGCCUUCAGCGUCACUCGGCACGGGCAGCUGAUCUCCAAUCUCCUAGGAAACUCUGGGAAGGACUCAGUGCAGUCACAAAACCCCUGGUCUCCCCAUUUCCCACACUCCAGACCUGGGAAUCAGCCUUAAAAAGAAAUUGUACGGUAAAAACCAAACGGCUCCAGCAAAUCAUCCAACAUAGCGUGUCAGGUGCCGAUGUCCCCUUCGCUUCUGAUGCUGGGAUGGGCACCCUCCUCCGCAGCCCCACAGCACCCACCCCUCCGUGGGGCCAGGGUGCAGGAGGGAUGAGGGCAUCCCUUCGGGCAGCACCGCGGCCGGUUUGCACCGUGGGUUGCAUACCUCUGGCUGGGGGGACCACCUCCCGUGGGCAGUUUUGGCUUCAAAGCCACCAUGAUGUGUUUGUACGCUAUCGAGGAAGAUCUGCGGUCAGAGGGGCCGGUUCCUGAUGCUGCGAUAUUGUGCGAUUCUUGCUUGGUAGGAGAGAGAAAAGGCGCCGUAGACGUGAAGGAAAGAGAGGCAAAACCCCACUGAUGCUGGUUCAGCGCUGAGCGUGCCAGCCAGCCCUUACCCUCCCCUUGGUGAACAUUGCAUCUCCAUGGAGAGCCGGAAUCGUUCGUUCUGCCUAGUUAAAACCAGACAUUUUUUCCAUUUUUGGCUUGUGCUUUUGCUGGAGGGAAAUGUGGAGUGAAAUUUUGCCCAUAGCGAGAAGGCUGACUUAACCACCUCAAACAUCAGCCCAGCCCCAGGUAUGUGCAGGGCUCUCGGCUUGCUCAGCGCUGCCUUGGAGCCUCCUGUUGUGUUAUUUGCUUUUGCUGUUUCCUAAACUCCAGCAAAAACCCCGGGAAUGACACGCCACAACAGCAGGGUUUUUUUUCCAGGAGAUAUUUUGCAUCAGGGAAAAACCCAUCUGAGCGUCAGAGUGAGUGUCACAGUGUUCCCCCUUUGAUGGAUAUUAAUGUAUUUUCCUACCUUUGAAAGGGGUUGGAAUACAGUUUAAAAAAAAAAAUAAUUGCCCAAUAUAGGUCUGGAUUCAUAAACAGAGGCUCCUAAGCGUGCUGCUGCUGGCUGCGGGGAAGAUGCCAGGGAGUUCGGAAAUGCCGCAGGAUCCUCGCUCAAAUCCAGCCAGCAGAGCUUGGGCAAUCACUUCAGAAAUGCCCCAGUUGGGGCAUUGCACUCAGGAAAGCCCCUUUUCCAGCUCAUUUAUGGACAGAACCAUGAAAGGAAAGGCAACCCCAAUGCAUAGGCUUUAUAGCUGCCACUGUAAAUGUGUCUGACACUGGGAAUCCUAUUCCUCGUAGCCAUUUGCAGCGGGAGCAGAGCUGGAAAAUAGGGUGACUGCCCUGUGCAUCCAUCGCCUCCCAACAGAAGAGCCUUGUCCGCAUGGACCGUUCCUCCUCAUUUUCCCUAGAUGGAACCUCCCUCUUGCCUCGAAAUCCUGUGCCAGCCAGGUGUUUCCAGGAUCUCCGUCUCUCUGCAUCCAUGGCUCCGCAGAGCCAGGACCGCUGCAGCCCCGUGCCACAAAUCCACGCCAUCCCCUGCAUCCCGGUGGGAUGCGUGGCAGGGCUGGAGCUUCCCUGCCAUCUUCAGCUGCUGCGUUUAUGCUCCAAGAAGCCAAAUCCCGAUGGUAACCACGCCCCAACACCACUUUAAGGUGCACAGGGCGGCACAGGAGGCACAGACGAGGAUAUAUAUUUCCAGCAAGGGUGGAAAUACCAGACCUUCUGCCCUGAGCAUCGCGGUGGUGAGGAUUGAUGUUUCAGUGCUCUUUGGAUCCAGCCCUCGGGGAGCAGGACUGGCCUGCAGCUGCUGGGACUCCUGGCCGGGGGAUUAAAAAUAAACCCCUAAGCCUGGCUCCGAAAGGUCGGCUGACAGGUAACAUUUAGAAGAGCCUCAAACUGUUAUUUCAAGGAGUAUUAUUAUUUUUUUUUUUCUCCAUAGGAAAAGCAAAUAUCUAAGCUGCCCUGGAAAAAAAGCCAUUCCUGACUCUCCCCUGCGGAUGGGGAUUCGCCACACGUGAACUGGGGGGAUGCGGUGGGAGAAAGCCUGGGAGCGGGAUGGCAAAUGGCAGUGGCACUGUCACCUUUCAUUAAUUAAUGCUACUUUGUGUGAUGGCCCCAGAGCCCGGGGAGGGUGCUGGAGCAGUACACGGAGCAGCUGCACAUAACCCUGGGUGGCUUUAUGAAGGAUCACAGCUCCUCUCUUGGGAGCAACCCACGGUGGGGCAUAUGAGCGUGCAGCUGCAGGUGUGUGCAGCAGGGGGUAAAUGAGAGUCUCGAAAUGGUGUUAAAUGCACACGCCAAGGGCCGGCUCCUGCAUCUAUCGCCUACUGGUAACUCCCUUCUGAAUUAAGAUCAACUUGACCUGAGCGAGGAGUGCAGAUGCAGACCCUAAAUCCUGCUGCCGCAGAAACAAAGAGUAUGAAAUACAGUCAACCAAAAGCCCUGUACAUUUUCUCCCAUCCUUCAAGCCGUAAUUGCCACUGACAGUCCUGAAACCCGUGGUUAGCCUGCGCUCAGGCUCGGUUAGCGUGCGUUAUCCAUUGCUGUUUCGCACGCCGGAGCAGGAGCUGGAGUCGGAGCCUGGGGGCUGGUUACCAGCAUACGGGCUGCUCUCAGCCUUUCCAGCAAACAUAAUUUUUUCCCCAUCUCCAAGGAACAAAGUGGAGACAAAAGAUUAAUCUUCCACGGAUUGUAAAAUCCUUGGGGCGAGGAGCGUGGCGUCGGUUCAGCGUUGUUGGCAGACUUUCUGCUGGCUCCGACGGGCUCUGGAGCGGCUCCGGCCGUCCCACUCCCCUCGCCCCCAGCCCAGGAGCACGGCAGUGCAAAUCCACAGCUUUCGGGAGAAUUAUUCCCAAUUUCCUUUUGUAGAAACAAGAUCAAAAUCAAAACCGGCUGUCGACUUCCACGCCUCGUAUGGUGCUGCGUCAGCACUAGCAGGACCCUGCUCUCCCUCCCGCACCUCAGCCAUGCCUAAAAAACCUCCUCAGAAGCUUGGGAUGUGUUAAACCCACUCCUUUCUUCUUUUUAUGACCCUCUUAAGCUUGUCUACCUCCAAAAUUUAUUACCGGGGGGAAGCCAAGAUAAAUAAGGAGGUUUGCCUUUCGUUUCAGGGCUGACGUGCUGCAGAAGGGAAUCCCCCAAACCGGGGGGGCUGCCAGGGAUGGAGCCCCAGUCCCCCCCAGCCCGGCUUGCUCCAGUGGCCACGGGCCCUUCACUUACAAUACUGAGGGCAUUUUCACUCCAGACCGUUUUCCCUCACUGGUCAUUGUUGGACUGACUAAUUUAUGGCUCCAAGUCGCUAAUAAUUUUGAUGCAGUGCCUAAUUAUAGGUGGGGUGGAUGGUGCUGCCUGUUACUAGGGCUGCCAGAUGUUCCCUUUGUAACUCUGUUCUCAGUUGCUCCCAACUUUGUCAAACUUCAACUUUUGGAGCUGGGACAUCGUCUUCGCGCUCUCUUCCAGUACAAGGACUGGCAUCAUCCGAUGAAACCGGGAGGAGCAGGAACAACAGGAGUGGGUCUUCAUGGGUUGCCGAGCAGAGCCUGCGGGCACGGUGUGGGCGGGAGGUGGCACGUCCCCGGGGGCAGCCGAGACGAGGGCUUGGAGGAGAGAGCACUGGGGGUUACUGAACAAAAUGCUCAGCGCUGGGAGGGUGCUAGUGGAAAAGGCCGUAGGUGCCUGCCUGCGCCUUGCCCGGUGGUAGGGGCUCGUGGUUGGGGCGGGUCACUGCUGGGGAGCCACUGCUGCGCCGGAGGGACCGGUGGUCUGAACCGCUGCGGUUGCAGAACGUGAUAAAGGGGUCAGGAGAUGUUGGGGAAAGAAGUGAGGGGCUCCUGGUUGUACGUACACGGUGACGCAGCUCGGUGUGCCUUGCCUCUGUUCUUCAUCUGUACAAUGAACAUUAGAUCAGACCCUCACCUUCUUGGGUGCAGGUGAAGGCAGUUUGUGGUGUAGGGCCUGGCCUAAAUCAUGCUCAGGAGGACACGAAGAACCCUCUUUCCAAAAACCUUGCUCUAGGGGCAGCACAUUUGCCCUGGAGCAGGGUAACAAGGACGGGGCAGCUGCCUGUACGCAGGCUCCCACCCAGGCUGCAGGCUGGGUGACACAGGAGUCCAGUCCGACCCCCUGCUACAGCAGCUGCUUUGAGGGCAGUUCCUGAGUUUUGGGGAUUACCAACUGCAAUAAGUCCUCUGUGCACCUUGUUGAGAGCACAUGGUAUUUUAAUAAUAUCAGAUUGCAUUAGUUCUCCCCAAGCACCUGGUGGAACUGCUCAGCCCCUUGAACUGGAGAGCCCCGGGGCAGACCCCGGCCAAGGGCAGCACUAGUGCCCAGGGAGCUCAGCAGCAGAAACACCCCUUUUCCCCCCCCAAAACGAUCACGAGAGGCAGAUGAAGACAACGACAGAGCUUGAAGCGAGGCCAGACCGCAGGGCUGGGAGCUGUGCUUCCUGCAGGAGGGCCUGCAGCACCGCAGGGGGGGCGGACGCCGGGCUGCAGCUGGGCGAGAGCACCCCUCCGGCUCCCACGCCGUCGGCUGCGGUGAACCGAAAAAAAUGAGUUUAACAAACUAAAAAAAAAAAAAAAUGAACCUACGUUUCCCUCAGGACCUCGCUCCAGUGGGAGCCGCAAAACUUUUUCUAUAAAUGAAUCUACAUAGAAAUAAAUAAGGUAGAGCUCCUCCCCGAGA